CCGGUGCGCAGCGCCACUACCAGCUGCAUCUGCUCCGAUCUACCACUACUCCAUAGCUGUUAAUCCUUGUAGGAAGCUGUGCAUUGAAGUUGGUCCGACGUCAAAGGUUUCCUUCAUCUCUGAGGAUCUGUGCAUUGGCUGUGGUAUUUGUGUCAAGAAAUGCCCAUUUGAUGCCAUCGAGAUCAUCAACCUCC